rnacentral:rRNA from 1 species
CAGCAGUGGGGAAUAUUGGACAAUGGGGGGAACCCUGAUCCAGCGACGCCGCGUGAGUGAAGAAGUAUCUCGGUAUGUAAAGCUCUGUCAGCAGGGAAGAAAGAAAUGACGGUACCUGACCAAGAAGCCCCGGCUAACUACGUGCC